GAUGAACGCUGGCGGCGUGCCUAAUACAUGCAAGUCGAGCGAACGGACGAGAAGCUUGCUUCUCUGAUGUUAGCGGCGGACGGGUGAGUAACACGUGGAUAACCUACCUAUAAGACUGGGAUAACUUCGGGAAACCGGAGCUAAUACCGGAUAAUAUUUUGAACCGCAUGGUUCAUAAGUGAAAGACGGUCUUUCUGUCACUUAUAGAUGCUUCCGCGCUUGAUUGGCUAGUUGGGAAGGUAACGGCUUACCAAGGCAACGAUGCAUAGCCGACCUGAGAGGGUGAUAGGCGACACUGGAGCUGAGACGCCGUCCAGAGUCCUACGGGAGGCAGCAGUAGGGAAUCUUCCGCAAUGGGCGAAAGCAUGGCGGAGCGACGCCGCGUGAGUGAUGAAGGUCUUCGGAUCGUAAAGCUCUGUUAUUAGGGAAAAACAUAUGUGUAAGUUAAUGUAGACAUCGUGACGGUACCUAGUAAGAAAGCAACGGCUAACUACGUG
rnacentral:rRNA from 1 species